rnacentral:rRNA from 1 species
UACGGAGGGUGCGAGCGUUGUCCGGAAUCACUGGGCGUAAAGGGCGCGUAGGCGGCCUGAUAAGUAGGGGGUGAAAUCUUGCGGCUUAACCGCAAGGCUGCCUUCUAAACUGUCAGGCUAGAGCACAGUAGAGGCAGUGGAAUUCCCGGUGUAGCGGUGAAUGCGUAGAGAUCGGGAAGACAUCAGUGCGAGGCGGCCUGCUGGCUGUUGCUGACGCUGAGGCGCGACAGCGUGGGGAGCAAACAGG